rnacentral:ncRNA from 1 species
UUAUGGUUCAAACCAUAGAGUGGUUUGAUGAAAAGGGAAACAAGUGCGAAUCUUGUACAAUCCCGUUGCUGUGUUUGCGGAGCCAGUUCCCAAUGCCAUUGACAGAAUUUUCUGUUGAGAAGGCGGAAUAUGGCGAUGAUGCAUGAGUCAGAAGACCUGCCAUGAACUC